rnacentral:rRNA from 1 species
GCAAGUCGAACGGCAGUCGGGCAGCAAUGCUUGGCGAGAGUGGCGCACGGGUGCGUAACGCGUAUGCAACCUACCUUUAACAGGGGGAUAGCCCGGAGAAAUUCGGAUUAAUACCCCGUAGUAAUUAUUAGUGGCAUCACUGAUAGUUUAAAGCUAAUGCGGUUAGAGAUGGGCAUGCGUUCCAUUAGCUAGUUGGUGCGGUAACGGCGUACCAAAGCUACGAUGGAUAGGGGACCUGAGAGGGCGAUCCCCCACACUGGUACUGAGACACGGAGGAGACUCCUACGGGAGGCAGCAGUAAGGAAUAUUGGGCAAUGGCCGCAAGGCUGACCCAGCCAUGCCGCGUGCAGGAAGACGGCCUUAGGGGUUGUAAACUGCUUUUGUCAGGGAGUAAAUCCUUAUACGUGUAUAAGGUUGAAAGUACCUGAAGAAUAAGCAUCGGCUAACUCCGUGCCAGCAGCCGCGGUAAUACGGAGGAUGCGAGCGUUAUCCGGAUUCAUUGGGUUUAAAGGGUGCGCAGGCGGGCUAAUAAGUCGAACGUGAAAUUCCGAGGCUCAACUGUGGGGCUCCCUUUGAUACUGUUAGUCUUGAGUUUAGUUGAGGUGGGCGGAAUGUAGACUGUAGCGGUGAAAUGCAUAGAUAUGCUACAGAACACCGAUAGCGACGCAGCUCACCAAGUUAUAACUGACGCUCAUGCACGAAAGCGUGGGGAUCAAACAGGAAAAUACCCUGGUAGUCUACGCUGUAAACGAUGAUCACUCGUGGUUGGCGAUAUAAAGUCAGCGGCUAAGCGAAAGUGAUAAGUGAUCCACCUGGGGAGUACGAUCGCAAGGUUGCUCACUCAAAGGAAUUGACGGGGGCCCGCACAAGCGGUGGAGCAUGUGGUUUAAUUCGAUGAUACCGAGGAACCUUACCUGGGCGUGAACGCUUAAUGUUAUUGGGAUAAAUCUCAAGUCCCUUCGAGGCGUAGAGCCAGGUGCUGUAUGGUCGUCGUCAGCUUGCGCCGAGAGGUGUCGGGUUGAGGGGCAUAGUGGGCGCAACCCGUUUCAUUAGUUGCCAUCAGGUAAAGCUGGAAGGGUGAGGGGAGCUGCCUACGCAAGUGGAGUGGAAGGUGAGGAUGACGUCAAAUCAGCACGGCCCUUACGUCCAGGGAUACGCAGGUGUUACAAUGGCCGGUAGUGAGGGCAACCACCUGCUGCCCGGAAAGGCAGCCCAAAAGCCGGUCUCAAUGCGAACCUAUCCCGUUAACCCGAGUUCGUGCAGCUGAAAUCGCGUAGUAAUCGCGCCUCAGCCAUGGCGCGGUUAGACGUUCACGGGCCAGUUAUAUAAACCGCCAGUCGAGCCAUGGGAGCCGGGGGUACCUGA